AAGUCGUAACAAGGUUUCCGUAGGUGAACCUGCGGAAGGAUCAUUAAUAAAUAAAAUCCUUUAUGGGUUUUUUUAAAAUCCAUAUCCACCAUUUUGUGCACUGUUAAAAAAAUUAUUUGCCUUUCCGGCUGAAUCGGGGACCAUUUUUGUUAGGAUGAAAAAGCUAAUUCUUUUUAUUAGCCAGGAAAUCUUAAUUGAUGGCUCUUGACCGGCCGAAAGGGUAUCUUAUCUAAAACCCUUAUUGUUUUUGAUUGUGACUGAAGUAAAAUAUCUUUGCAGCAAUGCAAUAAUAAAAAUUUUAAUACAACUUUCAACAACGGAUCUCUUGGCUCUG
rnacentral:misc_RNA from 1 species